rnacentral:rRNA from 1 species
AACGUAGGUACCGAGCGUUAUCCGGAUUUACUGGGCGUAAAGCGCGUUCAGGCGGCUUGGCAAGUCGGGCAUGAAAUCUCUCGGCUCAACCGAGAGAGGCUGUCCGAUACUGCUAGGCUUGAGGACGGUAGGGGGUGGUGGAAUUCCGCGUGUAGUGGUGAAAUGCGUAGAUAUGCGGAGGAACACCUGUGGCGAAGGCGGCCACCUGGACCGUACCUGACGCUAAUACGCGAAAGCUAGGGUAGCGAACCGG